CAGUAGCCGCGGUAAUACGAGGGGGGCAAGCGUUGUUCGGAAUUACUGGGCGUAAAGCGCACGUAGGCGGCUUGGUAAGUUAGAGGUGAAAGCCCAGGGCUCAAUCCUGGAAUUGCCUUUAAGACUGCCGAGCUAGUAGGUGAGAGAGGUGAGUGGAAUUCCGAGUGUAGAGGUGAAAUUCGUAGAUAUUCGGAAGAACACCAGUGGCGAAGGCGGCUCACUGGACAUGUAUUGACGCUGAGGUGCGAAAGCGUGGGGAGCAAACAGGAUUAGAUACCCCCGUAGUCCCUGUCUCUUAUAC
rnacentral:rRNA from 1 species